AAUACCAAUAACCGAAAAUCACAAAACCAUGACAGCAAGGUAUAUAACCUGGGCCUUACAUGACUACAUCAUGGGGAGUAAAUGGAAACAUAGUUUCCAACAAGAAGCCUGUUCCUUUCUCAUUGCUUUGAAGGCCUGUGCCAGGACCCCAAGUUUGCAGUCCUGUUGUGCUUCAGCAUUUCCAUGUUGUUCCCCUUUGGCCUGCAUUCUUCUGGCUUACUUUGUGUCAAACAAGUUCUGUGAGAGCAGGUGGUUUUCAUACCAGAGGUUCUGUAAGGAUAUUUUUUCAUAGUGCUUCAGGAAAGAAAUUUAGAGAGGGAGUUCAGGCCCAACUAAUCCAUUAACUAAGUUGAGUCCAUUGAAAUGUUACUUGUUUCAUUUAUUUGUGUGGCAACUCUUAAUUUUUCAUUCUGUAUUAAAAGUCUGAAAAUCCUCUGAAAAUUCCUUUGACCUAAGGAAAAAAGUAAGAGAAUUCUUGAUUUCAGAGAGCUGAAAUUGAGCAGAACUGCUUUAAGUUGUCAAAUCCUAGAUAGACCUAUGCUACCGGUAAGUCAAGACACGUACAGACUCCCUGCUGUCUAUAGAUUGGAUCAAUGCUCGUAUUUUUAAAUGUGUUCUCUCUACCUUCUGCUUUUUGGCCCUUACAAAAGCAAUGGGUCUUGGUAAUAUCUUAUUUUCAGUCCAUCCUGCUUUGUAAUGGAAGAUGUAUUAUCUGGCUUCUCAAAGCCUCAACAAACCUGCUUUCUGUGGCUGUGAGUGGUUACUGUUGUGCUGCCUGGACUAGAGCUGUUAGGCUCAUGGAUCCUCUGGCUACCAGCCAACAUGGUAUCUGCCAGAUCUCUCUGCUGCUUUGUUCAAGAAGCUUUUGUACUGCCAUUGUCUCUCUGUUCCCUCUGAACAGGCCCGUGGGGUUGUGCAACUCUGAGUUUAUGUAGUCCCUACCUGGAUGUAAUUGUUUUGGCCUUGCACAUAGAACAGUCUGUCAAUCUGCAACCCCGAAACUCCUGUAGGAGACCUAGAGAUUGCAUCGCAUGUCAAGGAGAAGACUGAAUGGUUUGUCUUCAUACAGCUUGCCAGUGCUGGCGUGAAACUGUGCCACUUUGUGCACUCACAGCUGAGCAGAGGCAGAGCCUGUGGAAAUGUGUGGUCCCUAGGCACUGGUCAGCCCAGUGUGCUGUUAGCCAUGAAAGUCCUCAGCACAAUGAUUUGAUGAGGCUGUGAUCUUGGAGAGAUAGAAAAUGAGAUGGGUGCUUCGGUCGGAUCAGGAGGAAAUGCUGAAUUGUAAAGGGUGGGUUUGUGUAGCCAGCUGCCUCGGAGUGAAAAGAAGGCUGCCCUCCUCCUGCAUCUGACCACUGACAUUAAGCAUGCAGGGCUGCAUGACCCGGCAGAGAGACUUCAUCUGCCAGCAGGGAGCCAGUGCCUCGGAGAUGAUGAUGUAGUCCCUAUGUGGGCCGCAGAAAGCACUUCGAGCCGUGCUGGAGUCGUGCUGGGUGGCUCUGAUAGCAGAGCUAAUGGGAGCGAAUGGGAUGCAACGAACUGUUCUAAUGACACCAGCCAGGGAAGAGACAACAUGCCAAGAGCCAGCUUCUCUGAAAGGAUGUCAGAGGAGAAAACCGAGCAUGGCCGGCUGUACAGGACCGCCCCGGGAUGAAGCAGGAAUAACUCGGUAGGACGUCUGCAGGCAGCAGCUGCACCCAUUCGUUGGGGAAAAAUGGAGAAGUGAGAAAUGUGGGAGUGGGAAGUGUGGGAGCAUUGCACAUUAUGUAAUGCAGAGUCUAAGAGCCACUAAAGGCAUAAUUACAAAAUAUAGAAUCAGUUCCUUAUAAAAAAAAUUAGCUGGUCUACCUGCCUA